rnacentral:rRNA from 1 species
UUCGCAAUGCCCGAAAGGGUGACGAAGCGACGCCGCGUGGGUGAGGAAGGCCUUCGGGUUGUAAAGCCCUGUCAGGAGUUAAGAAAUGUAAGUGUGCUAAUAUCGCAUUUACUUGACGAAGGCUCCAAAGGAAGUCACGGCUAACUCUGUGCCAGCAGCCGCGGUAAUACAGAGGUGGCAAGCGUUGUUCGAAAUUAUUGGGCGUAAAGAGCACGUAGGUGGGUUUGUAAGUCAGAUGUGAAAGCCUCCUGUUCAACGGGAGAAUUGCAUCUGAAACUACUGAUCUUGAGUAUAGGAGGGGAGAAUGGAACUUCUGGUGGAGCGGUGAAAUGCGUAGAUAUCAGAAGGAACGCCGGCGGCGAAAGCGAUUCUCUGGCCUAUUACUGACACUCAGUGUGCGAAAGCUAGGGGAGCAAACGGGAUUAGAUACCCCGGUAGUCCUAGCCGUAAACGAUGGGCACUAAGUAGAGGGGUUUU